UACCAGCACCCCGAGUGGUCGGGACGAUUAUUGGGCCUAAAGCAUCCGUAGCCGGUUCUACAAGUCUUCCGUUAAAUCCAACUGCUUAACAGGUGGGCUGCGGAAGAUACUAUAGAGCUAGGAGGCGGGAGAGGCAAGCGGUACUCGAUGGGUAGGGGUAAAAUUCGUUGAUCCAUUGAAGACCACCAGUGGCGAAGGCGGCUUGCCAGAACGCGCUCGACGGUGAGGGAUGAAAGCUGGGGGAGCAAACCGG
rnacentral:rRNA from 1 species